rnacentral:rRNA from 1 species
CCCCUUAGAGUUUGAUCAUGGCUCAGGAUGAACGCUAGCGGCAGGCCUAAUACAUGCAAGGCGAGGGGUUAGCAAUAACACCGUCGUACGGGUGCGUAACGCGUAUGCAACCUACCUAUCACCGGGGGAUAGCCUUUGGAAACAGGGAUUAAUACCGCAUAAUACUGAUAGUCAGCAUUGGUUUUCAGUUAAAGAUUUAUUGGUGAUAGAUGGGCAUGCGUCUGAUUAGUUAGAUGGUGAGGUAACGGCUCACCAUGACGAUGAUCAGUAGGGGGCGUCAGAGCGUGGUCCCCCACACUGGCACUGAGAUACGGGCCACACUCCUACGGGAGGCAGCAGUAGGGAAUAUUGGGCAAUGGAUGCAAGUCUGACCCACCCAUGCCGCGUGCAGGAAGAAGGUCCUCUGGAUUGUAAACUGCUUUUGUCGAGAAAAAAUAGGUCUCUUGCGAGGGAUUGUGACGGUACCCGAUGAAUAAGCCACGGCUAACUACGUGCCAGCAGCCGCGGUAAUACGUAGGUGGCAAGCGUUGUCCGGAUUUAUUGGGUUUAGAGGGUGCGGAGGGGGGUUUGCUAAGUCAGUGGUGAAAGCUGGUUGCUCAACAAUCAAGUUGCCAUUGAUACUGUCAGACUUGAGAGAAGUGGACGCUCAUGGAAUGGGAUGGGGGUUUACCGUUUAAAAUGCAUAAAUUAUCAUCCAGAAUCGUCAGUUGCGAAGGCAGGUGGGGCUGUACUUUUUUCUGACACUGAGCACGAAAGGCGGUGGGGGAUCAAACAGGAAUAACAUACCCUAGUAGUCCACGCUGUAAACGAUGCCACUAGCUUUUUUGGUUAAGAAGUAAGAGAGCUAAGGCAUUCGAUUAGCUCCGCACUGAGGAGAUCACGCAGCACGUGAACCAGAAUGACGGUCGCAACAGGAACAUGGUAUCAGUACGCGACAUCUAC